UACGGAGGGUGCAAGCGUUGCUCGGAAUUAUUGGGCGUAAAGGGUAGGUAGGUGGUCUCAUUUGUCUGGGGUGAAAGCCUUGAGCUUAACUCAAGAAGUGCCCCAGAAACGGUGAGACUGGAGACCUGGAGAGGGUCGUGGAAUUCCCGGUGUAGCGGUGAAAUGCGUAGAGAUCGGGAGGAACACCAGAGGCGAAAGCGGCGACCUGGACAGGUACUGACACUCAACUACGAAAGCGUGGGGAGCAAACAGG
rnacentral:rRNA from 1 species